rnacentral:rRNA from 1 species
CCUACGGUGAGCAGCAGUGAGGAAUAUUGGUCAAUGGACGCAAGUCUGAACCAGCCAUGCCGCGUGCAGGAAGACGGCUCUAUGAGUUGUAAACUGCUUUUGUACGAGGGUAAUCGCAGAUACGCGUAUCUGUCUGACAGUAUCGUACGAAUAAGGAUCGGCUAACUCCGUGCCAGCAGCCGCGGUAAUACGGAGGAUUCAAGCGUUAUCCGGAUUUAUUGGGUUUAAAGGGUGCGUAGGCGGUCGUAUAAGUUAGAGGUGAAAUCCCGAGGCUCAACUUCGGAAUUGCCUCUGAUACUGUUCGGCUAGAGAGUAGUUGCGGUAGGCGGAAUGUAUGGUGUAGCGGUGAAAUGCUUAGAGAUCAUACAGAACACCGAUUGCGAAGGCAGCUUACCAAGCUACUUCUGACGUUGAGGCACGAAAGCGUGGGGAGCAAACAGGAUUAGAUACCCGGGUAGUC